CCUCUCCUGUUAUACAGCCCCACCCCGCCCCGCCUCCUUUUCCUUUAGACCCUCCCCCUGGUCAGGCUCCGCCCAUGCUCGCUCAGACCCAGGCGGGACAGGGGCCUCAGGGUACCGCCCCGCGCUGCCGGAGGCGGCUGUAGCGUCAGGUGACAGCCCGGAAGCUGCGGAAGCGGAUGAAGCAGAGAGGUGGAGGCCCGGUGGGGCUUCGCGGAGGUAAGGGAGCUGGUCGGCGGCCCCGGAGCUCGUGGCGCAGCGCGUAUGCGGCGCUCAGGCUGACAUCUGAAGGCCGACGCUCUGGGUCGUGCGGCCGGGCCUCGGCGUUUGGAGUCGCGGUGCGGGCCUCCGGCGGGCGUCCAUGGAGAAGGCUGGGCGAGAGAGUGACGGCGCCCCCUGCGGGCCUGUCCUGCACAUCGUGGUGGUCGGCUUUCACCACAAGAAGGGCUGCCAGGUUGAAUUCUCUUAUCCACCGCUAAUUCCAGGAGAUGGACAUGACAGCCACACUUUACCUGAAGAGUGGAAGUACUUGCCUUUCCUUGCCUUACCAGAUGGUGCACAUAACUAUCAGGAAGAUACUGUGUUUUUUCACUUGCCACCCAGAAAUGGAAAUGGAGCCACAGUAUAUGGUAUCUCUUGUUAUCGACAAAUUGAAGCCAAGGCAUUAAAAGUGAGGCAAGCCGACAUCACCAGAGAGACUGUUCAGAAAAGUGUCUGUGUUUUAAGCAAGCUGCCUCUUUAUGGCUUACUUCAAGCAAAACUUCAACUCAUUACACAUGCAUAUUUUGAAGAGAAAGAUUUUUCCCAAAUUUCCAUUCUAAAGGAGCUCUAUGAACAUAUGAACAGUUCCUUGGGAGGGACCUCAUUAGAAGGAUCACAGGUGUAUCUUGGUCUGUCUCCUCGAGAUCUUGUCCUUCAUUUUCGACACAAGGUCUUAAUCCUGUUUAAGCUAAUUCUUCUUGAAAAGAAGGUUCUGUUUUAUAUUUCUCCAGUGAAUAGAUUGGUGGGUGCACUAAUGACUGUGUUAUCCCUUUUUCCAGGCAUGAUUGAGCAUGGCCUCAGUGACUGUUCUCAAUAUAGACCCCGAAAGAGUAUGUCUGAAGAUGCUGGACCUCAGGAAAGUAAUCCCCCUGCAGAUGAUUUUCUUUCUGAGUCUACUUCUGACAUCUUAAGUACCAGCUUGGGAACUGUUCCGAGAAUCAUGACAGUAAACCAUGGAGAAGAUGCUGAUCCCAAGACAGAGAAGCCUUACUGCCAAGUAGAAGGUAACAACAACAAAGGACAUGAACCCAGUGAUACUGGCCGAUAUCUGGAACUUCCCCCUCGUCCAUCUCCAGAGUCUUCAGAAAGUGACUGGGAAACGUUGGAUCCUAGUGUCUUAGAGGAUGCCAGCUUGAAAGAAAGGGAACAGAUGGGGUCAGACCAGACACACAUAUUCCAAAAGGACUCCGUGCCCUCAGACAGUACUCCAAUUACUGUACAGCCUCAAGCUAAUACCAGGCAGGUGGUCCUGAUACCAGGGCUCAUUUCUGGUUUGGAAGAAGACCAAUAUGGCAUGCCUCUAGCCAUCUUUACAAAGGGAUAUCUGUGUUUGCCUUACAUGGCAUUGCAGCAGCAUCAUCUUCUCUCUGAUGUCACUGUUCGAGGAUUUGUGGCUGGAGCUACUAACAUCCUUUUUCGACAACAGAAGCACCUCAGUGAUGCCAUUGUGGAAGUAGAAGAAGCACUGAUUCAGAUCCAUGAUCCAGAACUCAGGAAGCUGCUUAACCCAACGACUGCAGACCUAAGGUUCGCAGAUUACCUGGUGAGGCAUGUGACUGAGAACCGAGAUGAUGUCUUCCUGGAUGGCACAGGCUGGGAGGGAGGUGACGAAUGGAUCCGGGCCCAGUUUGCAGUCUACAUCCACGCUCUGCUGGCUGCUACACUGCAGUUAGAUAAUGAAAAGAUGUUAUCAGACUAUGGAACAACUUUUGUUGCCGCCUGGAAGAAUACUCACAACUACAGGGUAUGGAACAGCAAUAAGCAUCCAGCACUUUCAGAGAUAAAUCCAAACCAUCCUUUUCAAGGCCAGUACUCGGUGUCAGACAUGAAACUCAGAUUCUCACAUUCUGUUCAGAACAGUGAACGUGGCAAAAAAAUUGGCAGUGUCAUGGUCACAACCAGCCGGAAUGUGGUACAAACAGGAAAAGCCGUUGGCCAAUCAGUUGGAGGAGCUUUUUCCAGUGCAAAGACAGCCAUGUCUUCAUGGCUAUCUACUUUCACCACAUCCAGCCCUCAGAGUCUUCCUGAGCCACCCAACGGGAAGCCCUGAGUCCAGCAGCACAAGCUGCUUUGUUUUCUAAGGUGUAAUGCUUCCUCCCCGUCUGCUGCUCCCAGGCUUUCUUCUUCUAUCCAAAGGUCCAUACCCAGGGACCAAGAUGACAAACUGUUUACAUGGAUGGUUGCACUCUAAAUGAAAGUUGCAGGAUGCUGAAUGGAUGAAAUCACAACCAUAGCAGAAUAGCUUUCCAGACUUAACUGCAUGUUGUUUGUGUGAUUUCUGGCCUUCACAACUGGGCAACAGUGCGUUCUUCAUUUGUCAAGAAAGCAGCACAUAGGUGAGCUGAAGGACUCCACACCCAAUUUAGCUUCCUCCUGAUACUACUUAUGGUGGAACCUCAGCAGAAAGAGCCCUCUAUAGCAUCUGGGAAAUUCUGAAGGAGGUUGGUCACGUAAUUUCCUCAUGGACAAGGCCAGGGAAGGAGAAACUGCACUGCAGCAGUCCACUUCUCUACUUGGACUGGUCUUGGCAAUGUAGUACCUCAGCACCACUUUGUAGAUAUGGAUAAAGGGACUUUGUUUUGGUACUCUGGUUGGCUGAUGUCCUCAAAGUCAAAUAGUCUCACUGGCUCCAGUGUUUCCAAACCUGUCCUGGGCAGCCACAAACUCUGAGGAUCUUUUAACUGUAACAGAGUCUCAAUUUUCCCCUAGGAAACUGAUGUUUACAAUCUGUGGCCACUUGAAAUUACUUUUAAGAUCAACUGAGUCCCUCAGGCUUCAUAUAAUGUUCUGCCUUCCUUGUGGAGUAUUUGAGUAUCUUCUGUGUGUCAUGUAUAUUGCAUGAUAGCACUCACUAUCUCUGGCUGAAUAUAGCUUGCUGCCAUAGGCUGCCAGUUGGCAGAGAGUAGAGCAUACUGACUUCCGAGCCAGGGUACUGAACCAACAUAACCUUCCUAGGAGACAGCAAUUGUUCAUCAGGGACAGUUAGUCCCUAAGAGGCCAAGCCAAGACCUAAAGAUUAUGAGUUUUAGCAUGGAGGGAGUUGAAGAUGAACUUGUAAAAGGACCUCAGAGCUAUGCGAGCAACACAAAUGAAGACCAGGGAGCUGUCUUGGAGAAAUCAAAUGUUCAAAGUGGCAACAAGGGUCAGAACCAAAAAAUAAGGCCAAGUCAGCACAAGGAGAGUCCCUUCAGCCUGGUGAAUGUAAACAAUUUGGAAGGUAACAGCUUCCUAGGGGCAGGUAGCAUCUUAGGGAGCUGCUUCAGGAGCCUGAUCACCACAGCCUGUUUAACUGAACUGUGAAACUCAGUGUUUCUCAGCUGGCCAUCUCUAACUCAUCCACUACUCCAGUCUUUUUCAUUGGCCCAAUCUCAGCUUCCUACCAACCAAAUCAAAACAUGUGUCCAAAACACAAUAAACCACAAAACAAAACUCCCACAACUGUUCUUGGUCAAAAUCCAGUCACUGUGAGAACAUGGCUUCUUAGAUUUCACCAGAGGUUAGAUAGUAAGGUGACUAAAGGAAAGACACUGUACGCCACUGUAGGUAUGGGGGCAUCAUAUUGAGGGCCCAAGCAACUGCCCCAGCAACUGUCUCCAGCAGGGCAGAGACCCUAGAGACCUGGCUCUGUCACAAUGCCCAAAGAACCUACUCUGCGAUUCUGCAUGCUUUAUACUGGGGUUAAUUUGCAUGUGUGAAAAGUUCAUCUAUAACAUCUAGAUUCUUCUAGCCAACCUAAUCCAUGAGUUUGUUUUAAACAGAAACUUGUACUUACUCUGGGGAAUAAAGUGAUGAGUGAACAAA